rnacentral:lncRNA from 1 species
CUAUUUCUAGGUUCUAUGGUAAAUUCAAGAAAGAAGUUUUUAAAAAUUUAGUUCCUAUUGAUAGGCAAGGCACCACGCCAAGUCAUUAACAUUUGUUACUUUAGUUAAGUCCCAAACACCCUUGGGCCCAAGCAGUGCCAUGUCAACUUUACAGAUAGGAGACUUGGAAGACAUGAAGCCAGUUGCCAAAAGUCAAACAGUUACCAAGUGAGGCCAGAUCUUGCACAAAAAUUCUUUUUUACACUGUGUUGCCUUACAUGGCCAAUGAGAUCAUUGUACUUGUGUGUUUACACAUCUCUGGAUUCACUGAAACAGUGAAUGAGCAGAGAUGGCAUGCUUUUGCCUCCUGCUCAUAUACAUCAUUUCCUUGCCAAACCACACAAACUUCCAAAGGCUAAAGGUAAAGGAAGAAAAAAAAAAUCAGUUACCGGUGCUUGACUAUUUUGAUCUCAUUACUUACAGUAUUUAAUUAUCUGAAACUUUUAACAGUGUUAAAAUGUUAAUAAUAGCUGUUGAAAUACAAUCUUAAAAUGUUAAUAUUAAUCAUUAAUAUUAAAAUACCUUAAUAAUUUAAUGUUAAUAUUAUUUUAAUGGAGCCACCCUUCCUUUGAAGAUGUUGAGGUAUUUUUUAAAAAUUCAAAUUGAAUUGGAGGAAUGAACAUAAGGACACUUCAAAUGAAUCAGUGAAGGAUAAAAACAGGGAAAACUGCUUUAUUCAAACCCAGGCAUUCCAUUUUGCACCCUGCCUUAUAAAUUAUCAACUGGAUAAUAUGAUUCUGUAUAGUCAUCCUCAAUCAUUAAUUUUUCUCUUAAAACUGCUUCACCUAGCUGCUUGCCUUGAGCUUGGAGAGAGCAAACAGGGAUAUUUGGGUUUAGCCUAGAGCAACAUAAAAAGAAAUGGAAUAAAACCAUCCCCAGAUCUCUUUGUAGUUAGUGGCCUUCAGCAGAGUUGGGUUAUAAUGGUUCUUAAGCUAAGAACAGUAUUGCUAGUGUCCAUGAAAAUGGAAAGCGACUAUAAAAAUGAUUGACACGUUCUAUAAAGUAGACUUUCAUUGUCAAUCAUAUAAAUAUGACUCAUUAAUCAUGCUAUAAGCAUUUGACAGCUGACUGGCAGUAACAAAUUCUCCCCAGAGAAAGCUAUAUAGAAACUUAAGAGCAGCUUAUUAAUGUUGAUACUACUUAAACUGGAUGUUAUGCAUCCUACAGGAAGCAGAUAGUUUCUUGCAGUCCAACAUAAUUGAUUCCAGCAGAACUUUUAUUAACAGAGUGUGCAUUAUACAGCUUCUGAUGCAUUUCCAAUCACAGAGGACUGAUUGGUUUUAUGAGAAUCUUUUUUA